GACGUAGGGCGCGAGCGUUGUCCGGAUUUAUUGGGCGUAAAGAGCUCGUAGGCGGCUUGUCGCGUCGACUGUGAAAUCCCGCGGCUCAACUGCGGGUCUGCAGUCGAUACGGGCAGGCUAGAGUUCGGUAGGGGAGACUGGAAUUCCUGGUGUAGCGGUGAAAUGCGCAGAUAUCAGGAGGAACACCGGUGGCGAAGGCGGGUCUCUGGGCCGAUACUAACGCUGAGGAGCGAAAGCGUGGGGAGCGAACAGG
rnacentral:rRNA from 1 species